AGUGAACGCUGGCGGUAGGCCUAACACAUGCAAGUCGAACGGCAGCACAGUAAGAGCUUGCUCUUACGGGUGGCGAGUGGCGGACGGGUGAGGAAUACAUCGGAAUCUACUUUUUCGUGGGGGAUAACGUAGGGAAUCUUACGCUAAUACCGCAUACGACCUACGGGUGAAAGCAGGGGAUCUUCGGACCUUGCGCGAUUGAAUGAGCCGAUGUCGGAUUAGCUAGUUGGCGGGGUAAAGGCCCACCAAGGCGACGAUCCGUAGCUGGUCUGAGAGGAUGAUCAGCCACACUGGAACUGAGACACGGUCCAGACUCCUACGGGAGGCAGCAGUGGGGAAUAUUGGACAAUGGGCGCAAGCCUGAUCCAGCCAUACCGCGUGGGUGAAGAAGGCCUUCGGGUUGUAAAGCCCUUUUGUUGGGAAAGAAAAGCAGCAGGUUAAUACCCCGCUGUUCUGACGGUACCCAAAGAAUAAGCACCGGCUAACUUCGCG
rnacentral:rRNA from 1 species